GUCUUAGGAAUAUAUUACAAUAAUCAGCAUAUACUGCGUACGUAAAUAUUACUUACUUCUGUGGCAAUAUCCAGUCAUACAAUUAUCAUAACUCAGGUUAGCAGUCCUUAAUGUCCUCAAUUUACUCUUCAAAACAGGUUAGCAAUCAGUAUUUUAAUACUAACGGUUAAACAGACUCGAUCUACAGAUCUCUUACAAUUUGC